ensembl:lncRNA
GAACAGAGAACUAAACCAGGACUAAACCAGGACUAAACCAGGACUAAACCAGGACUAAACCAGGACUAAACCAGGUCUAAACCAGGACUAAACCAGGUCUAAACCAGGACUGAACCAGGACUAGACCAGGACUAGACCAGGACUGAACCAGGACUAGACCAGGACUAGACCAGGACUAAACCAGGACUAAACCAGGACUAGACCAGGACUGAACCAGGACUAGACCAGGACUAGACCAGGACUAAACCAGGACUACACCAGGACUAAACCGGGACUAAACCAGGACUAGACCAGGACUAAACCAGGACUAGACCAGGACUAAACCAGGACUAGACCAGGACUGAACCAGGACUAGACCAGGACUAGACCAGGACUAGACCAGGACUAAACCAGGAC